rnacentral:rRNA from 1 species
GAUGAACGCUAGCGGCAGGCUUAAUACAUGCAAGUCGUGGGGCAGCAUGAGUAGCAAUACUUGAUGGCGACCGGCAAACGGGUGAGGAACACGUACACAACCUUCCUUCAAGCGGGGAAUAGCCCAGAGAAAUUUGGAUUAAAUACCCCCAUAAAUAUAUUUGAUAAGGCAUCUUAUUAAAUAUUAAAGCUUCGGGCACUUGAUGAUGGGUGUGCGGCUGAUUAGAUAGUUGGCGGGUAACGGCCCACCAAGUCUACGAUCAGUAGCUGAUGUGAGAGCAUGAUCAGCCACACGGGCACUGAGACACGGGCCCGA